rnacentral:rRNA from 1 species
GACGAACGCUGGCGGCGUGCCUAAUACAUGCAAGUAGGACGCUGAAGGAGGAGCUUGCUUCUCUGGAUGAGUUGCGAACGGGUGAGUAACGCGUAGGUAACCUGCCUGGUAGCGGGGGAUAACUAUUGGAAACGAUAGCUAAUACCGCAUAAUAGCAGUUAUUGCAUGAUAACUGUUUGAAAGGUGCAAUUGCACCACUACCAGAUGGACCUGCGUUGUAUUAGCUAGUUGGUGGGGUAACGGCUCACCAAGGCGACGAUACAUAGCCGACCUGAGAGGGUGAUCGGCCACACUGGGACUGAGACACGGCCCAGACUCCUACGGGAGGCAGCAGUAGGGAAUCUUCGGCAAUGGACGGAAGUCUGACCGAGCAACGCCGCGUGAGUGAAGAAGGGUUUCGGAUCGUAAAGCUCUGUUGUAAGAGAAGAACGAGUGUGAGAGUGGAAAGUUCACACUGUGACGGUAUCUUACCAGAAAGGGACGGCUAACUACGUG